GAAAAGAUAGGAACCUUCAUUAACACAAUUAAAUUCAAAAGAAUAUGCCUGAAUUGAUAGUGAAAGUAAUUUUUACGCUAUGAGGUCCCUUAAAGAUAAUUACAUGGAAUUAGUUGUUCAUAAAAAGUGGGGUUAUUAGUAACUUGUUACAAAUAAUGCAUGUUACCUGCGACUACAAAGAAAUAAAUUUUUGAUCUAAUUCGACUUCAAAAAGUAGCUAAUGAGAUGGUGAUUGCAUAAGACCGUAUAAGGAGGCUAAUUACCCAACCCAAAGGCGGCUCAAUCAAUAUGGUGGCCUAAAGCUAAAUCUUAAUAAAAGGCCUAAGAUAUAUCCAAUAAAAAUUUUAUAGUAUAUUUUUACCGAGAGUUUGAGAAAAACGCGAGGAAUAGCAAAAAAGAUUAUGCAACUCAAGAUUAUGCCUAAACUAUCCCUAUCGUUUGCUAAAUGGUUUAUAAAUAUCCUCUGUCCAUCUAUCCGUCCAAAAAUACACACAACGUUAAUUCUAUUAACAAAAAUACUAUUGCGACUAACGGCAAAAUUGGUGGGUCUUUCAUUUAAUGACGUGAAGAUUUUUAACUGGGCCACAUGACAAUCUUUGACUGGAACAAAAAAUGAAUAUUAUUUCAACUCAUUUACCUUAUCCGACCCAUUUACAAAAAUGGGUGGUAUCUAUUACACUCAUUCCCACUCAUCUAACCUCCCCUUUCUUCUUCUUCAAUCAUAAAUCCCAUCUUUGUACAAAUUACAGAAUAGAAAUGGACCAAAUUUACACUAGUAAAUGACCAAUACAAAGACCCAAUAUCUAGCAGAUAUUAAUCAAUAGGCUUUAGCUUAGGUAAAAAAGAAGCAGAGUUGUUGGGUUUUCGGGGACACUAUUGAGAUUGAUCUCUAUUUCAACGCUGGAAGAAUUGGUGGUCAUUGAAUUUUGCAUUUGUAUUUGUAUUGAUUUAUUAAAGGUGGGAUUUUUAUCUAUUCUUUGUCUUGAUCUAAAGAGAAUUAUUGAGAAAUCGAUCCUUACUUUAAAGAUUUUGAGAAGAACUAGGUGAGAACAGUGAAGAAAAAAUAUAUGCUCAGAUCUCACUUUUGACAAAGUUGCCUCUUUUAUUUAUCAAAAAAGAGAUGGGUAUUAGGUUAUCAGAGAUUGGAGUUAAAAUUAGAAAAGCUGUAAUCUUUCCUAUUAAAGUGUGUUAUAGGACAGUUUGGAAUCAUCCAUUCCUUGUGUGUAUGUUGUGUUUCUUGUCAUUUUUGUACACGUCAUUUCCUUUUGUGUUUUCA